UUGAUAUAAUAUUUAUGUGGUGCAUUAUGCUAGUCACAAUCACUAUUUGAAGAUGGGGCUAAAAAUCCAUUAAUUGAUACAAUUGCACUUUAUAUAUUUGCUGCUUCUGCCCAAGUUGGGGUGAAUAUGUAAUUUAAAAUUAUAGGGAAAUCAUAACGGCAUAUGACUAACCCCCUGUAAUUAAGCAAAAAAGGAAGAGUUAUUCAUGUCGUGCGUGGUUAUUAGGGAUUUAACGAAUAAUAAUGUUGAUGAAAUCUUAACUGCAAAAGCGAAUAAGAAUAGUUUAGAUGUGUCAGGGAAAACCUCUAGCGUGUUAUUUAUUAUAAAGAUUGAAGUGCGGACUAUGUGGCAAUCGAGUCAUUAGUUAGGCAACUACUAAUUAUUUUCUUUAAAGAGAAAUCGCCUAAGGGUAACCAAGGGAGAGAAAAUAGAGAAAUUCAACUCGACCAAAGCCGUAAGAUUAAUUUAUAAUAAACCAUAACAUUUUUAAUAACU
rnacentral:sRNA from 1 species